UUAGUGCAUGCAACAUCUAAAAGGAUCAAUUUAAUUCAUUCUGUAUUUCAUUUGUCAACAGCAAGAAACAUUAUGAAUGUUUGGAACUCUUCCGCAAACAGCAGCUGAUACUAGGAGAAACAUCUAUCACCAGCCAAAGGUGUACCUGAUCCGCUGGAUCCCAGGGACGGAGAUCCAGACGAGGAAUUCUACAAGGCUCAAAUCUUCAUGUUGUCAGAGUUCCAUAAAGAGAUCAGGUGUAAGGUGCAGAGUGGCUCAAGGCUCAUGGUGCCCAAGAUUGUGGACACCACUGUCGUUGACAACAGUAGCAAAGAUACACUCCUGGCAACCCUGGCAAGCACCAAGAGGGCACUUAAGAAUGCGCAGGCAGACAGGAAAGUGAAGUUUGUCCAAAUAAGGGAGGCCCAAGAGAAACAGCUUAAUCUGAUAAAGGAAGAGAGAAUCGCUGCAAUGGGACAUUUGGAUAAGGAUAAUAAAUCCAAGAAGAAGCAGCUGGAGGUGAAAACUUCCCAGAGCAGACUAUGCCUGGCCCAUUAGCCUGCGCCUUCCCAGUCCCAAGAGGAGAAAAUACCCAGGAGGCUCAAAGAAGAGAGGGCAGCCUUCCAGCAGAAGGUGGAGAAUCUGGACCAAAAGGUGGAGAAUCUGGAGGCUAUGAACCUCAAGUUACAGGAGGAAAUUGUUGAAUUGUCAAAAAUAGCAAGAAUGUUGGACAUGCUUAGGCGAGGUGAUAGGCCCCCAGCACCACGCAAGCAAAGAUGGCUGGACAUGCCUGCAUCCCCAGCACCACCCAGGCACAGUCAGCAAGUUCCUAAAUGGAGCACCAAGAAGCCAGCGAGCAGUUGCACACUACAAUUAAUGGCAAGGUAAAACUGCCAGAUGGUAUUGUGACACCGGAGAGAGUGUGGAAUAGGGCACAUAGCUAAGGAUGAAUUCAUUAUUCAUCAGGUCCUUGGCUGUUAACAUCUGGGGUCCGAUGAACUGAAGGGAACGUCAGUGUGUGGAAGACCGUGCCCACCGUUUGUGAACAUGGGAAGUACUGGGAAGUCUUUGCUCUCACCACAGAAGUUAAAUGUAUCAAAGCUAAUGCCACAUAAACCCUGUAUUUUCUUUUUGUGUGAUGCAAUGUCCCCUUAGUUAACUGAGAAGCACUGAACUAGGAUUAAUUGGUCUUCUGAUUAUGGUUAGGUUCCAAGAAAUGCCCAGAUGAAUUAGGGUUUCCAUGGAUGAACUGCUAAGAAGCAAUGGGUAAACAAAUGGGGCUGUUAAAAUUGUUUUAUUGCAGGCAGCAUAGAAGAUGCAAUUUCUCUCAGCAGGAGGUCAGCUUGGAGGCCUCUUGUCACCUGUUUUGUAAGACCCCAACUUUUAAUUUCAACCUUAAACUUUUUCUCUUUUUAGCAGCAUGUUUCACACGCCAACUCCAAACUCAGGGGCUGAGUGAGGAGGCUUUUAAGAAGAAGUUCAGAAAAAUGAAUAAUUACAUCACUGAGAAAAUUCUGAACCUCAAUUGGAGACAAAAUCCAGUGAACCAACUAACAUCUAAUGCCUAAGUUCUGUAUUUUGAUUAACAGCUGCAAUUUAACAUUUCCUCACUUUAUCUGUGUUUAACUGCUUUGGUUUCUGCAAUUUAUGUAUUUAACUGUUUAUUUCCCUCCUUACAGGGAAGUCAAGGAUGUAAGCAUCUCAGCGAAAAUUGGGAGGCUGAAAUCAGACGAACCAUCCUGCCUUACUAAUUUUAGCUGAUCUCAAAUGGAAUCAGUUGGGCCAGUAAAUUUAACCAGUCUAACCAACCUCAACUGGAACCAGCUCAACUGGCCAACUGAAACAAAUUCAGCUCACCAACUGGGAACAAUCCAACAGGCCAACUGGAACAAUCUCAGCAGCCCAACUAGGAUCAGGUCAGCUGGGACCAAUUCAUCUGGGCUGGCUGUCCCAAUUUCAACAACUAAUUUGGAUCAAUCCUUGUUCAAUUCUGCAGCAAGUGAGGCGGAGAGGCAGUUUUAAAGCUCUAGGAAAGCCAUUUGCUUCUCUCAAGCCAACAUGCCCAGCAUCGGGGCACUAAUCACUCAAAACCACCUCCUCUGAAAUACUUCAGAAAUGUCCUUAAAGCAUCCCUGAAGGUGUCAAACAUCUCAAUCAUGGUGACUGACCAAAAUGGGAGAAGGUUCAUUUGGGAGGGCACCCAACACAGAGGGACUUCAUCAGGCACAUGCAAAGGCAAAGUCAAGGCAACACACAGAGUGCAAAAAAUUCACCUGACACCUGACUAACCUUCCGGGCACCACCUGCCUGCAAGUGACCGAGUCUGCAGGUUGUACAUGCCAUCUCAGAACCCAUUGAACUGGAGUGGAAAUAAAUUAUCCUCAAUCCUGAGGGACUGCCUAAGAAGAAAGAAAGAUUGCUGAUAUUUCAUUUGAAUUUAUACAGUAUUUAUUUUAUAUUUGGUGAUUUAUUUUACUUUACACAUUUCAACUUGUACAUGGGAUUUUCCAGACUAGAAAUGUCCAAAGGAACCUAACUCUGGCUUCAACAUUGAUUCCUAUGAGAACCUUUGAUUCACUUAAAGUUUUUUCACUAAAAGUCGAGAUUUUAAGGAACACAACUUUAAGUGAUGCCUAACUGUAGAUUGUUGCUGGCUGGGGCAGAGAUAGAUAAUGUUACAAAGAUGGAAAUAAGUGCUUUUUUGAGAUGGCAAGGAUGUGGGAAACAAAGCUGUUUCAAGUAAAAUACGACACCAAGGUUGGGAGCAAUCAAUUUCAACUUGAUAUAAGGCCCAAGGAAGGGGAUGGUGUCUUCUGCAAGGGCACAGAAUUUGUUACAGGAGCUGAAGAUGAUGGUUUUGGUCUUUCCAAUGUUUAACUAGAGGAAAAUUGCAGCUCAGCCAAGAUCAGGUGUCAGACUAGCCAGCUGACAACAGAAGCAGCAGACGGUGGAUUGAUAAUGGGUGUCAUUAGCAUACCUGGGGAAUCCAAAGGUAUUUCUUUGGGUGAUUUUGCUGGGGGGUUGGUACUUGUACAUGAGGAAUAAGAGGGAGCCAAGCAUAGAUUCUUGAUGCACUUCAAUGAUGGUAUGGGGCAGAAAGUGCUAUUGCUGGACACUCUCUGGCUACAAUAGUUAGGAGCAAAACCAAGUGAGGGCAAUCUUUCUAAGUUGAUAUCAGAGGAGAGACGUUGGAUCAGGAUGGUGUCAAUAGCCAAGUCAAAGACUGCAACAAGGCCAAAAAAGGAUGGUGGGAUGUCACUAGGGUGUACGGAGGGGAGACGGUGGCAUAGUGGUAUUGUCACUGGACUGGUAAUCCAGAGACACAGAGUAAUGCUCUGGGGACCUGGGUUUGAAUCCCAUCAUGGCAGAUGGUGGAAUUUGAAUUCAAUAAAAAAUCUGGAAUUAAAAAUCUAAUAAUGACCAUGAAACCAUUGUUGAUUGUCAUAAAAACCUACCUGGUUCACUAGUGCCCUUUAGAGAAUGAAAUCUCACCUGGUUUGGCUUACAUGAUCCGCAGUAAUGCUGGCAUCAGGCCAAACAUGGAUUACCAAGUACCACCCCCACUCAGCUGAUGA